CGGUAUUCAUAAACAUUCUUAGAGUGCUAAAGAGGUCUUAAGUCUGAGAAAAUUCUUAGAAAAACCAAAAGUUACUAUUAAAUCUAAGAAUUUUCUUAAGUCAUAUUCAUAAAAACUUUUAGCACUAAGAGUACUCCUAAAGUUAAGAGUACUCAAGAGGGCUUUUAGCUACCUAAGAAUUUUCUUAAGUAUCCAAUAUGGCGGCAGCUGGGGCACCCCAGCCGCAUCAGCUGAGAACUUUCAGGCCAAGGAAAAACAUUUUCAGUGUGUAUUCAGACACGGAACUUAUCCAGCGGUUUCGUCUUGACUGUGCAGGUAUAUUAUUUGUCACAAAUUUAAUCAGGGAUAGGCUUACCUCCCCUACACAAAGAAACAAUGCUAUCACCCCGGAGAUGAAAAUAGCUGUCAUGCUGCGUUAUCUUGCAACUGGGAAAAUGCAACUGUGUAACGCCGAUGAUCUUGGGUUAAGUCAGCCAUCCAUAAGCCGUAUUGUCAGUGAAACAAUUGAUGCAUUGUCAACACCGGCUAUUGUCCGACAAUUUGUCAAAUUACCUGUACAACGAACAGACAUCCAACGUAAUCAAGCAGCGUUCAUGGCAAUUGCUGGCUUUCCUGGCGUAUUUGGUGUAAUUGACGGCACCCAUGUCCGCAUAAUUGCCCCGAGUGUCGAUGAGCCGGAGUACGUUUGUAGGAAACAUUUCCACAGCAUUAAUGUGCAAAUAGUAUUUGAUGCUCACUACAACAUACUUGACAUCGUUGCCAAGUGGCCAGGAUCUACGCACGAUGCAAGAAUUUUAAAUGAGAGCGGUGUCCGAACCGCAUUCGAACAACAUUUCGUCCCUCAAGGCUGCCAUUUGCUCGGAGACAGCGGCUAUCCGUCUCGAAGAUGGCUGUUAACACCUUACCUUAGACCCCAACCCGGUCCACAAACUAGAUACAACAGAGCUCACAAACGCACCAGGUGUGUGGUCGAAAGGGGUAUAGGACAACUGAAAAGAAGGUUUCAUGUCCUACACAGCGAGGUCAGACUCAACCCAGUGAAGGUUUGCAAGGUGGUAAUUGUGUGUGCCAUCUUACACAAUAUAUGCAAACAGAGGAACAUCCUUUUGCCAGGUGGUGCUGGUGAUGAUGACAGAAACAGUGAUGAUGAUGAUGAUGAUGAUGAUGAUGAUAAUAACAAUCCUCCCAACCACUUGCCACAGGCUAUGGGAGAUGGUCGUUUGUUCAGGGAGAACUUCGCUAACAUUCACUUUCAAACAGGUUAGAGUUGGAGGCAUGUUAUAGGAGGCAUGUUUAGCAGAGUUCAUGAACAUCGCACGUUUUUCAGGCUCCUGACACCAUAUGUGCGACCUCAACUCUCUAUGUCACUCUACAACAGGGGCCAGCUGAGGCUGAAGUACAGGUUGCUUGAGGUCUGGCCUGAACUCCAUGU
rnacentral:misc_RNA from 1 species